rnacentral:lncRNA from 1 species
GUAAACAUAAUUCUCAGCCAAAUUUGUUCAACCUCAAAGUUCCUUCUUUCAAAAAGCAUUGCAUUUCUUUGCUGCCAAAUGGCCCACACAAUUGCACUCCAACCCGUUUGCCACCAAUUACCCUGUAAACCAUGACCACAUUGCCAGAAAUGCUCCUGAGCCGACCUAGGUAGAGUUGAGUUGAUAUCGAAAAUUUCGAAC